AGUGCUCUCAGGACACCGAGUCGUCCCCUUUUAUGGAUGAGAGGAUUGAAACUUGGAACUGUUUAAAAGAUAGGGUAGACUCUGUCAACAGCAUUGGGUGGUGUUGCAUGGCUGAAAUCUCAGCCACUUAGGAGGUAACUGUGGGAAAAUCAGUCUGGAUAAUUUAGAGAGACCUUGUCCCAGAAAAGACGGAGUGUUUCAGUGACAGAAUCCACUCAGGAGAGUUGGGGCAAGGCUGGCCAAGGUCAUCAAGGAGCUGAGUUCUGAGUUCAGGUGCCCACAUGGCAGUGGAAUGAUCCCUUCUGUCCCUUCAGACCUUUGAGACGUCUGGGAGGUCCUAGAAAUCACCUCAAGUCUCCAGUCCAGGACACAACUGCCUAGGGGAAUCCCAGGGACAGGCGGCAGAGAUUGCAUGGCCUGCAAGGUGAUGGACUCCAAUGUGAUCACUGCAGAAUUCGCCAAAUUCCAAACCACUGGCAGUUGGAACGCACAAGCCCCCUAUUGACGAGGAGGCGAGGGAAGCAAGCUGGGAGGAGGCCCGUUACUUGGCUAGAGAGAGAUGGACCACCUUCUCAGGUCUUCUGGAAGUUGCUGAAACAUGGUGAGGAAGGAAUGUCAUCACUCAUAGGAUGGAAUCAAGAAACUUAGAAUGGAACUAAGCCUGAAGUACUUCAAGCCCUGGGACCCCCCUUUAGGGUCGUACUGUUCUCUCUCUCUUUCUCUCUCUCUCUCUCUCUCUCUCUCUCUCUCUCUCUCUCUCCUGUAUUUCUCUUUUCUUAGUGCAGGGAAUUGUACACAGGAACUGAUUUAACAGGUAUAAUUUUGGUCCCAAAUUAGCCAUGUUACUAGAAACUUAGGACAGUUCUGCCAGAGUCACUGCAUGUCACCUGCGGAAUCCAGGGAAUGCUCAUGGAACUCUUAAGUCCUGUUAAUAAAAAAUAAUAUAAGAACUGA